rnacentral:ncRNA from 1 species
CGGCAGGGGAAGCGAUCUCCCCUCCAGCCGACAUGCUCAAGAAUCGCGUCCCAACUCAGUCAACCGGAGGACGCAGG